GUGAAUCAUCGAAUUUUUGAACGCAAAUUGCGCUUCCUAGGAUGACGGGAAGUAUUCCUGUGUGAGGGUCAGUAUUAACAAAAAAAUCGGUUUGGUUUCAAAUUGUGACGUUUCCGGAGUUUGGGCAACCUUUACUUUUUUGGUUAAGGGGCUUUAAAUUUACUUUUUUUGUGCAUUUUUAGACGUACUUUAUUUUUUUUUUAUUUGUCUUUUUUUAAUGCCAAAAUCUUAAUAGAU
rnacentral:misc_RNA from 1 species